UUUGCUGGGGGUGCUACAUAUUGGGUAGCUGAGAAAAAUUUCCGUAAAAUUUUACUCCUGAACCUGAUUCGGAUAAUACCGACGUAGGGAAGCAAGUAUUU
rnacentral:ncRNA from 1 species